GCCACUCAGCUCCGCCCCUCGCCCCGUCCCCCCGAGGGAGGGCCGCCUCCUGAUUGGCCGCUCGAGCGCCAGGCAGGAUGGGAUUGGAAGCCAAAUAUGGGCGGGAGAAGAGGGGCCAGGCGCUGGGCCUCCGGGAGGGAGACGCAACCCGGGGGCUGGGAAAGGCCCGAGAGUGUUGUUUUGGAUUCCUAACGAAUUUCCAGUGAAAGAGAAAUGGAGAGACAAGACAUUUUCAGAUCAUGUCAAAUCUUGUACAUUAAAAUAAGGUAACCAGAAAUUAAAUAAGGACAUAUAACAUGCUCAGGAGUGCUAUGAAGAAACACCACAGUCAUGUGGACCUUUGUUUUUGUUUGCCUUCCUGUGUGUUGGAACUGCACUUCAACGUUCUAGAUAAAACCAGAGCCAUGAACUUGAACUGCGGUUUGCUUUUAAAGAUGUGUGUAUCAGUUAGGAAUGCUUUGGCUGGCAGUGAAAGGCAACUGACUAACAGCAGUUUCACAGAGACUAUUUUUCAUACAUUAAGAAAAGAUCUGGAUGGGCAAUUGCUGGUGUUGGCUCAACGCCUCAGUUUCUGGGCUGGCAUCUUCCAGACGCUUCUGACCUUUUCCUUCCAGUCACCAGUGAUUAAAACAGCUCCAGAAGAAAGAAUCUGCCGUGGAUUUUGUCAUUGUUGUUGCUGAGUAUCUGAGCUCAUUCUGGUUUUCAAGAAGUGAAACCAUGUAACAUUUGAAUCACUUCACCUGUGACCAGAUUUAGAAACAACGGCCACCAUAUACAUCUCCCAGCUUUGUUGUUUUUUGUGGUCUUGGGUUUCAGUCCUAGUUGCUGUAGAUUAAACUUGAUCAAAGUUUACAUGUACUAUGAGCCAAAGUUCAAUGACUUCUACUUCUGUGGCUGUCUGGAGGGUAUCACUUUGCUACAAAACACAAGAUGAUUAGUUCUGAAAUGUCAUGUCUUCUUGAAGCCCAGUUAGCGGGCUGCCUGAGAUCAUUUGUAGACUACCUCUCCAAGCUGACUGUCAGCAUGUUAAUUUUGCUCAAAUAAAGAGCACGUUUGCUCUCUGGGGGUUUUAUUC
rnacentral:lncRNA from 1 species